UGACCAGCUCCUCGGCGUUCUGCAGAGCGUGGGUUUCAGCGAGUUCUACGUGCCAGGUCCGCCCGGUGCCGGCUUCCUCGCUGCCCCUGGCGGCUCGUCAGCCCCCACUACCCCUGAACUUGGUCCCAAUGGCGGCCCGCCCCUCCUUCACCCGGACCGUGGGCAUCUGGGCCUCGCCGAAGCCGCCAAGGUGGCUGCUCGGGCUUCUAGAGCCCGUGUCCAGCCCUUUGCCACCGAGGCCUGAUCCUCUUUUCUGCCCUAAAGAACUUGCCCUGACAGCCUCUGGCUCCCGCUCUUGAGGAUCUUGCUUGUCCAAACCCAGAAGACAGUGCAUGAAGCCAGGGGACAUCCGCCAUGCUCCAAACAACUUGGCCUCAGGAGUCAGUGACCUUUGAGGAUGUGGCUGUUUACUUCACCCAGAAUCAAUGGGCCAGCCUCGACCCUGCGCAGAGGGCCCUGUACGGGGAGGUGAUGCUGGAGAAUUAUGCAAAUGUGGCUUCUCUGGUAGCGUUUCCAUUCCCCAAACCUGCUCUGAUCUCCCACCUGGAGAGAGGGGAAGCACCAUGGGGCCCAGAUCCCUGGGACACCGAGAUUCUGAGAGGCAUCAGUCAAGUCCUGGGUUUUCAGCCCCCUGAACUACGCAUGUUAAGAAACGUUUAUAAGGAGUUAUGUGUAUUUAUUAUGCUUAAAGAUUCAACUAGCCUGCCUUAAGGUACGUAAUAUCUCUCAACCCCAAAUACCCUUUCUUCUCUUUGUUUAAAAUGCAUCUUUAUUCAUAUACCCAAUUUUUCUUUUUGUUUGUAUUAGAUUUUGACUACAAGAGAUUGGUCUCAUUCCCAGGUUACCAUGAAUAUGCCUGCAUAUCAUCUUUUUUGUUCAUUAAAAACAUUUUUUCCCCAUUUUAGUUUUCUAUUCC
rnacentral:sRNA from 1 species